AUGGACAGGUUCCAGAUGCUACAACUGCUAUUUUGUAUUAAUCUUACUUCAGCACUCAUGUCUUUUUGUUUCUCUCAUAGAAGUGCCCACCCCAGGUGACUUUACAUCCUGUUCUUCCUGAGCCAGAUUUUUACCAUGGACUCCUUGACCCACUCAGUUUCUAAAAAGGGACUCCAAACUGCUUGCUGUCUGCACAUCGCCCCCUUUCAGCUGGAAGUAGCAAGAACAGUCAUCGCCCUUUUCCCUUACAGCAGUUGGAGGUCCCUAAUAUUAGAAGAAAAAUUACGGUCAAUGUAGAUGUUUGCCAACAUGUCUAGCUCAGGAAGAUGUACCUGGAAACUGCUCCCAAGAUCACCCUGGGUGAUCUCCCAGAAAGAGACACUUGCUUCCACAACCCAACUUAUAAGUGGAAAAAACUCCCUGUUCACCAAAAAUUGUGCUUUCCAGGUCCCGCUUUGAACUCCUUGACUAAAUCUCUAAACUGUCAAUAACUCUGAACUAUGUAACCUACUAUUUUGAUGGAGUAAAGGGAAAAGAACACCUGGACUUAUAAUGGGGUAUUGUUUCUGUAACUAGGGUAACGGUGCUCUGUUUCUGUAACUGGGGUGACUGGGCUAACUGUGAUUGGUUAGGCUUCCCUCCGCUUGACUGCACUCUCCCGCUUCUGUAACCUGGCUUGCUUGCAUUGGCUAGACCAGCUGAACAUCCCUUUUGCGGUUUUCAGGCUUAUAAGAGUGCCCUUGCAAUUGUUCGGGGCUGAUCAGGGGAACAGCUUUAUGUUCUGGUCAGCCGCCACCGGUGUGCUUCAAUAAAGGCUGGAAGUCAGUUUAUGGAACCCUGGGACGAAGCUUUAACUAUAAUAGCACCACCUAGAACAUGUGGAAUAAGGCAGGGCUCUACAGAAAAGGGGUGAAGUUGCCUCUGGAAUAAGGGUUGGCAAACUUUUCUGUAAUGGACCAGAUAGUAAUUUUUUUGAGGGGGCUUUAUGGGCUACAAAACAUCUUUGCUGUCUAUUCCUUUCCUAAGCUUUCUCAUUUCUGUACUGAGGAAUAAGUGCUGAGAGUUGAAUCAAAACUGAACAAAAAAGGACAGUAGGGAUAAAGGAAAGAGGGAAAGAAGAAAAACAGGGAAGGAUGGCAAGAGCAUGUUUUAGAAAGUAUGAAGGCCACAUUUCUAAUUACAAAACAAUAAAACUGAAGGCGCCCUAGAAAGGUGAAGUUGGAAAAAAGGAGAAAAAAAAUCCUUCAGUGAGAGCCAUAAGAAGACAUGCUCACAGAAGAGAUGGAAACCACAACCUAAUAUUUUAAGGCAACUAAAAUAAAGCAAGAAAAUGAAAAAAAGCAAUAUCAAAAAAGCAACACAAAUCAAAGGUGGAAGAAAUCAGAAAUGAGGUAUUUGAAAAACAGGAAUAUUUGUAAAUAUAGGUAACAGAAUUACCUCAGAAAAGAAUUAGAAAUUUAAAAAAUCAUUUCAGAAACUAAGGUUAAAUUAUCUACAAUAAAAGAACAAAUAAAUAUAUUAUCUUUUUUUUUUUUUUGCAUGCUGGGGAUUAAACCCCAGGCUCUAUCACAAAGUUUUACUCCAGCCCAUAUAUUCAUUUUUUCUCAAAACUAAGACAGCUUUAUUGUCAUUUAUUAUAAAAGUAAAACAUAUUACCAUAAAAUUAAAGUAACAUAAAGUAUAAAGGAAUAUAAAUAUCACCAGAAUAUAAAUAUCACCAGAAUAUAAAUACCAUUGCACAGAGAUAUUGUUAAUAUUGUUAAUAUUUUGGAAAACGACCUCCCCCAGGGAGAAAACUUGACAUAUUUAUUUUUUUAAAAAUUUUUAGUUGUAGAUGGACACAUACCUUUAGUUUAUUUAUUUUUAUGUGGAGCUGAGGAUUGAACUUAGUACCUCUCACAUGCAAGGCAUGCACUGUACCACUGAGCCAAGACCCAGGACCAUAUAUUAAUUUUUAAAAAGGAGAUUAAAAGGAGGAAAAAUUGAGAAAGAAAAAAAAUGAAGAGAUCGAAUUUGAGAUAAAAUGAGCUUUAGAAAAUAUGUAAAGAAGUACGAACAUUAUGUAUAAUAAUAUUCAGAGUAUACAAAGAACUCAAAAAAUUAGACAAUAAGUUAACAAAUAACCCAAUCAACAAAUGGGCCAAGGACCUGAACAGACACUUCUCAGAGGAGCACAUACAAUCAAUCAACAAGUACAUGAAAAAAUGCUCACCAUCUCUAGCAGUCAGAGAAAUGAAAAUCAAAACCACCCUAAGAUACCAUCUCACUCCAGUAAGAUUGGCAGCCAUUCUGAAGUCAAACAACAACAAGUGCUGGCGAGGAUGUGGGGAAAAGGGUACUCUUGUACAUUGCUGGUGGGACUGCAAAUUGGUGUNAUGGAAAUGGAAGGAGACCCUCAUUGUUAUACAAAAUUACAUAUAAGAGGUUGUGAGGGGAAUGGGAAAAAAAAAAACAAGGAGAGAAAUGAAUUACAGUAGAUGGGGUAGAGAGAGAAGAUGGGAGGGGAGGG
rnacentral:lncRNA from 1 species